GCUGUGCCUGCAGAUUGACCUUAAUACCUCAGCUGACACACUAGCUCUGUAAGCCGCCAUCGCCGGCCAGACUGUUCAAAGGGGGCAUGGGCAGAAAGAAGAGCCUUUGCCUCUUGCUUGGCCUUCCAUCUUGCUGUUGUUGAUUAACUCUCUUGUUGCUAUGAUGACUUCUUUGUUGAUACAAGAACUUCCAUUUGCAUUAAUUAAGAGCCAGUGUGUCUCCAGGAACCUUCAGGUUUCAGUGCUAGAUUAGAACUGCUGAGACCCACAUCUUAGUGGACUGAGCAACUACUAGAUUGUCCGUCUCUUCAAGGUGAAAAGCCACUGAGUGACUACUUCAACUGCUGAGAACCCAGCCUCUGGGACCAAGCAACAACCAGGCUCCCAGCCUCUUUGCUUUUAUAGGAUUGGAAGGUGCUGUGUACGAUACCUACCUACCGGCGGGGAAAGGCGAUCAAUCAUUCUUACCCAGCAGCUGUUACAGCAUGCACAAGAUCUGUGCAAACUCGAGCCAGACAAAGCCCAAGCAUGGAGACAGGAAGAGGAUACAAAUUCCAGACCUAGCUGAGCAACUUUUGGCAACUGAGAGCUGCUGGGAGAGGGAGAGUCCGUUUUCUUUAAGGAUGUGAUCCCUGAUAGGUCAGUUGCUCUCCAGUGGAAGGCUACACAUCCAAGAGUCUAUGGGCAACACAAACUACAUUUGAUGGGGAAAAAAAAAAGGAAGAGAGACAAUAUUGAGUGGGUAGAAAAGGAGAGGUAGAUCUAGGAGGAACUAUGGGAAGGGGUGAAUAUGAUAAAAAAUACGUUGUACAAAGUUUUCAGAGAACUAAUAAAAAAAAAGAUUUGA